rnacentral:rRNA from 1 species
GAUGAACGCUGGCGGCGUGCUUAACACAUGCAAGUCGAGCGAAGCACUUAGGAAAGAUUCUUCGGAUGAUUUCCUAUUUGACUGAGCGGCGGACGGGUGAGUAACGCGUGGGUAACCUGCCUCAUACAGGGGGAUAACAGUUAGAAAUGACUGCUAAUACCGCAUAAGACCACAGCACCGCAUGGUGCAGGGGUAAAAACUCCGGUGGUAUGAGAUGGACCCGCGUCUGAUUAGUUAGUUGGUGGGGUAACGGCCUACCAAGGCGACGAUCAGUAGCCGACCUGAGAGGGUGACCGGCCACAUUGGGACUGAGACACGGCCCAAACUCCUACGGGAGGCAGCAGUGGGGAAUAUUGCACAAUGGGGGAAACCCUGAUGCAGCGACGCCGCGUGAGCGAAGAAGUAUUUCGGUAUGUAAAGCUCUAUCAGCAGGGAAGAAAAUGACGGUA